rnacentral:lncRNA from 1 species
AUAGACUUACUAGGCGUGUCAAUCAGCAGCUUCCUCAGAUCAGUGUUGCUCUUCACUGUCGUUAGCUCAAGAUCAUAAACAUCAUAGUUCAUGAGGUUAGACAUGGCAGCUAUCAUAGUGGACUUACCAGUGCCUGGUGGUCCAUACAGAAGAUAACCCCUUUUCCAAGGCUUCCCUAUUUUCGCAUAGUACUCCUUACCAUUGCUGAACUUCAUGAGGUCAUUGAUGAUGUCCUCUUUCUUUUUUGGCUCCAUUGCUAUGCUCUCAAAUGUUGCAGGGUGUUCAAAGGCUACGGAGCUCCAUUUCCUCGUUUUGUAUCCAGGAGGAUUGUUAAUGUAAAGCUUCCUUUGCCUAUGACUCACCGUUAUUGCCUUCCCUUCUUUUCUCGCAUGGUCAAUAUAAGUCCCUGUGAUUAUAUCCCGGUGGCGUCGGUGGAAUGUGAGCUUAUAACGCCUCUUCUCAUCAGGCUGAGGAUAGAAAGGAAAUGAUGAAGAUUGCCUAGGCGCAGUUUUCCUGGAAGUCCACCACAGCUUAAUGCCUUGGAAUUCAUCAGUCACCUCUUCAUUGUCAUCCAUGACAAGGACUAAAGACUUGCUACCCUUGACUUCUUUUGCUUUGAGCCGUUUUGCUUCUGUAGACGACUUGGUGCUCAGGUAGCUUUGGAUGGCAGUGAACACUUCACUGCGCUUGUGCAACUCGCCGGAAUAUUCAUCGAAGGAAAUCUGGAUGUAAGGGUACACACACCCGAACCAUUUCUGUGUAUAUCUUUGAAUGUGGCUCCGGAGUUGAUGGGGAAAGUAUCGUUGAAACAUGGCAUAAGCAAACAUCAUACUUGCCAGUACUGAACCCAGUGAGCCCAGUCGAGGCCACAACCACAUUUCUCUCAUCAUCAUCCUCUUGAGCAUGGUUGGUUGGUUUUACAAGAUUUAAGACACUUGUAUAUAUAUGGAAUUUGGGCUCUUCAACAGACUUAAUAGGGACUUUCACUUGUCCGGUGGAGGGCUCAAGCAUACAUUCUUGAGCUUUGCCUCUGUGUUUUGUUCACAUUGGGAUGCGUUACAUUUUGUUUAUGUUUAGGUGAAGGUUAUAUUAGUAUAAAACUAUAAAUGAUGGGAAAUGAAUGAGGGUGAGUCACUGUAUGACGUGUCUAUGUGAAUACAUUAUGCAUUCUGAUCUAGAAUGGACUGGUGGAUGGGUCUCUUUGCUGAUUGUCUCCUUGCUCAAGGCCGGCAAAGAGUUUGCUUGCGAAAUGGGUUAGUAUACCAACUGCAAACAACUCACAGAUUCUCGACACUCUACAGUAAAGCCAAAGUACCCUGACAUCAUAUACCAAUGAUGUCAUAAUCUUUCCUUCAGCAUGCAUCAUGCACAAGACCUCUUCUUGUCCUUGGUUAAAAGAUAUUUCUUCCCACCCUUAUCAAAUGAAUGUAUAUGGUUGCAAUAUUGCAUAUGGGAUGAUCAUGAUGUUGCUGCAAGAUAACACAAUAUAAUUAUGUCAAUUUUGGUUCAUUCUGAUUGAUAAAGUACAAUCAUUUUAUUCAUAUGUUUUCCUCAUUGAAUAUGUAGAUGGAGAUUGACUGUGGACCGGUGAAGGUGAUGGAUUUUCUAAAGAAGUCCUGGGUUUUGAUCCACGGUAAGCUCUCUAGCCUCUAGAGAUUGCCCAAUCUUGAGAACAUAGGCUUUGUGGACUUAAACCCGGAUACUGGCAAAUAGCAACAUAGCCCUGCCUGCACCUCAUAACUUGCUUAAUUGUUCAGAUUCCCCCCUUAGUCAUUCCAUAUAUGUGGUCAUAAUUUGUUGAAAUAUAGACGUUUUCCACUGUUACUUAAGCUUUGCAUAGUAAGAUUAUAAAGAGAUUUUUCAGUUUCAAUUGGCAUUACAGUAGCUCCAUGAAACAUGAACUGUAGUAUUUAUUUCAUCAAAACUCAGAAAAUUGGUCAUUAAUUGCUUGAAAAAAGUGCAGAUUGUAAAACAACUCUUAAUGAUACUUAUUUCACACUGUAACUACAGGUUCACAAUUCUUAAUGAUUCUUAUUUCACACUACUGUAACUACUGCUUCAAGUUAUGCAGAUAUAAUUCUUCACACACUACUGUAACUACAAGUUCCAGUUAUGCAGAUUAUUUGACUCUCUUGCCACAUAUUCAAUGAACGACUCCAUUUUCUUUCCCAUCUUGUUUGGCUGAUGUUCCAUUACAUAAUUUACAUUUAACUUCAUCUUUAGCAGACUCAACCUUUUCCUUCUCUUCUUUCUCUGGCUUCAAUUUUGCUUCUUCCUCUUCCUUCAAUUUUGCUUCUUUCUCUGCCUUCUCUUUGGCUUCUUCCUCUGCCUUCAGUUUCACUUCUUCCUCGGCCUUUACUCUUGCCUCCUCCUUUGCAGUCUCGAGAGCUUCAAUCAAGUUCUUCAAACAAGAAUCAGNNNNNNNNNNNNNNNNNNNNNNNNNNNNNNNNNNNNNNNNNNNNNNNNNNNNNNNNNNNNNNNNNNNNNNNNNNNNNNNNNNNNNNNNNNNNNNNNNNNNNNNNNNNNNNNNNNNNNNNNNNNNNNNNNNNNNNNNNNNNNNNNNNNNNNNNNNNNNNNNNNNNNNNNNNNNNNNNNNNNNNNNNNNNNNNNNNNNNNNNNNNNNNNNUUCAUCAUCAUCCUUCUCCUUCUUCUUCUUCCGCUGCCCCGUGAGAUCAAGCGAGCAAUCAAUGUCCUCAAUCACAAUAAUAGUCUUGUUAGGAGUGUCAAUCAGCAACUUCCUCAGCUCAGUGUUGUUCUUCACCGUGGUCAGCUCAAGAUCAUAAACAUCAUAGUUCAUGAGGUUAGACAUGGCAGCAAUCAUGGUGGACUUACCAGUGCCUGGUGGCCCAUACAGAAGAUAACCCCUCUUCCAAGCCUUCCCUAUUUUCGCAUAGUAGUCUUUCCCCUUGCUGAACUUGAUGAGGUCAUCUACAAUUUCCUUUUUCUUUUUUGGCUCCAUUGCUAUGGUCUCAAAUGUUGCAGGGUGCUCAAACACCACAGGGCUCCAUUUAGUUGCUUUCCAUCCGGACCAAUUUGAAGCAGGAUUGUUAAUGUAAAGCUUUCGUUGCCUGUUGCCAACUGCUAUUGCCUUGCCUUGUUUCCUCACAUGGUCAAGAUAAGACCCCAUGAUUAUAUCGCGGUGGCGUCUGUGAAAGAUCAGCUUGUACUGCUUCUUAUCAUCAGUCUGAGGAUAGAAGGAAAAUUGAGAUUGUUUCGGCGGGUUUUUCCUGCAAACCCACCAUAGCUGAAUGCCUUGAAACUCAUCUGUCACCUCUUCAUUAUCAUCCAUGGCAAGGACUAGAGACUUGCUGUCCUUGACAUCUUGAGCUUUCAGCCUUUUCGCGUCUGUGGAGGACUUGGUGCUGAGGUAGCUUUGGAUGGUAGUAAAGAGCUCACUGCGCUUGUACCACUCACCGGAAUAUUCAUCAAAGGAAAUCUGGAUAUAAGGGUACACAUAUCCAAACAGUUUCUGGGUAUAUUUUUCGAUGGGGGCUCUAAGUUGGUAAGGAAAGAAUUGCUGAAACAUGGCAUAUCCGAACAUGACACUGGCCAUAACUGAACCCAGUUGAGGCCACAUUUCUCCCAUCUUCAUCAUCUUUAGGAUAUUUGGUUGGAUUCUCUGUGCUUAUAAUCAAGAUACUGCUAUAUAUAGUUGAGAAGACUCUUUCUUGGUGACUAAGAUAACCCCCACCAGCAGGUCUAGUAGUCUUUUCUAAUUUAAUUUAGUAUUCAUUUGACUAAAAGAAACCAGAAGGAAAGUGUAUGCCUUGCUUGACAAAAGAGUCCCUCUCAUGACUUUUGUAUGGAAAUUGCUCAGAAGAGAAAUAGCAGUAAUGGAGGAAAAAUCUAUUCCACAUAUGAUUCACUACAACGAAACAUGAUCUUAGUAUAACUCGAAUUUCACUACUUCGGUGCACUAUUGAAUCUAGUGUUUUAUGAGUAAAGUAGUUGGCUCAACUAGUAUUUUUGUUUAUUACCACUGAUUAUAUAUAAGAUGAACAUGAAAAGAUUCUACUUUUCUAAGGCUUUUGUUUUGUUUUUUUUUGCGUCCAGUAAUUAAUAUCGCAAUCAAAAAGUCUCCUUUUGUCAUAUAGAUUUUUUUUUCUUCGACAAAGUCUUUGUCAUAUAUGGUUGCAAUCUUGUGCGUGUGAAUCAAAGAGAGAAGAUAAGAUGUGUGAACGAGAGAAGGUACUUGUGGUGGGUGAACAAAACUACCAUAGAGAACAUGGUUGACAACAAAAAUUACAGAAGAUAAGAUUUGUGUUCUUAAAUCUUUAAGAAAACUUUGAUAACAGAGAAACAAAUGUUGCACACGGCACAGCUUAUCAGUAGUCGACAGUAACUUGUAUCAUAGAACAACUUGUUAAAGGGGUUAACUUCAUGUUAAACACCCUCAUUUUUCCCUCUUCUUCUUUCCCUGCCUUAACUUGUUCGCUUCUUUCUCUGUCAUUUUCAACAUCGCUGUUCAUCCUCAGUUUUUAAUCCUUAUGACCUAACAAGACAAAGGUCUCAAGGUUUAUAUCAUUAUUUUGGAGACGUUAAGAUGUAACAUCCACCCAGCUGAGUGAUCUCAUAGCGCAGGUGAAGUAGAAAGAUUCUAAUUGCUGCAUGGCUUUUGGUUUGUUCUGUGGCUUUUCAGUUUUCCAGGAAGGAGCCACACAAGUAUACAUUUACAUAAGCAUUUGCUAUGUGUACAUGAUGACUAAGAAACUACUUGUACAUGGGUCAUGAAAAUAGAAAUGGGAACACACUUGCAUUUACCUUAUGUGGUUGCUUAUGAUAACAUAAACAUUUACCUUAUGCGGUUGAUUAUGAUAACAUAAACAUGUACUGCUAGAAUGAUGCAAAAGAUUGAAGAUCAAGAGUACUAAAUCCUAAGUUCUUAAUUGCCAUCUUCAAUUUCAUCUGAGAUGAACUUUGAUGGAUGCUGAUGAUGGAAGAUUGCAUGAUUCAGGUUAUUUCUCUUGAAUGUACGAGUGACAUUCUCAUUCACAUUGUUAAAAGGUAACGUUUGCAUAGCUUUAGUAGUUUCCUUUCCUCAAUGUUAAUGCAAAGUUUAGAUCUUUCAUUGAUGUAUGCAUUUACAAUUCUUGUGUUGAUCACUACAUCAAGUAGAAUUCUUGUGCAAUACGCCAAUACCUCAACUGAUCACUGUGAAAUGGAAAAACUGGCAGAUCCUAUAAUUGAAAUUGAAUGGUGAAAGAACAGAGUUGCGGAUGCUUUAGCAAUAAUGGUUCAUCUUAUUUAGGGGAUUUAACCCAUGAAUCCCCUCUCCUUUGUAAUCUCUAGAGUUAUUCCCCUCUUCUGUCUCCCUCAGUUCUCCUCUUCUUCUUUAUAUACAGUGUUGCUCUUUAUCCCACAAUCAGAAAAGCUUGCAUUAUUGGCUGUCAAACACCAAAUACAAAAAAUGACAAUGAUCAAUCUGGAGCGAUUCAUCAAACUUGUGGCCAUCUUGAUCUUCGCAGACAUACAUUGGAAACAGGAUGUGAUCCGGGGGAAUAUAGUUCUCCCAAGAGCACCAAGAAUAUAAUUCGUUUCCUUUUCCUUUUAGUAUUCUAUUUACCCUUCUCGGGAUGGAAUUUGUUUUCUUGCUCUCUACGCUCUUUGUUCUCUAUAUAUAGAAGGGACUAGCUACCCCAACUCGGCUUUAAGGAUUGUUCUUUGGGGCACAAAUAAUGGCCGACCUUUUAAAAAUAUCACAAUAUUUACCGCCGGAAAUAAUCUUCAACAUCCUUUUACGACUCCCAACCAAGGCUCUUAUACGGUUCAUGUGUGUGUGUAGAGCUUGGAAUGCUACCAUCCACAACAAGAAGUUCAUCAAAGCUCAUCACGACCUCAUGAAAACCAAAACAACUCUCUCACUUGUUCUUAUACCAGAAGAUCUGUUUGAGCCUAGUGGAUAUUUUGGUCCAAGACUCGCAAUAAGUUUUGGAUAGCAUUUGGGCCAGUACCUAUGACAUUUUUUAAAUGUGAAGCCCAUGUAGGGUGGCGAGCUCUGGAAGCGCGCGAGGUAGGAUUUGACCAGGACUCCGGUACCUCGCGAGGUCCGCGUUCAGUUCGCAUAGGAGUCUACAGUGUUUGGCGAGGCGGGGCAGUAGUAGAAGCCUAAGCGGAGUCUGUUAUGACACGUGUCACGUGGAUAGCGUGGUUCACGGGCAAGCCGUGUUCUUGUGGAAUUCUAGUUGUUGAGUCCGAGUGGGUUUGUGAUUUAUCUCUAUCAGCUAGCCGUGGGAUGCUAUAUAAAGGAGCUUGAGGAUUAUUCAACAUACACAAUCAAAUCAUACAAAACUUACAAACUCUCGAGCUUCUCGAAACACUAGAUACUAAAGCACCCUUCGCUUUGGUCUACAGAGCCCGUUCGGACUUGCCCUUUCUUCCUGAUUAUUGCUCUGCUCGCUCUAACAGUGAGUAUCGAUUUACAAGUGAACAGAGGUUUGCUUAUAAUCCCUCGUCCGCGAGGUGGCACUGGAAACCCUUUCACUUGAUUAGAAGUCCAGCACAGUGCACUCAUCCCGCGCCUGCGCAGUGGCACGCCCCGCAACCUUGUUUUUUACUUUUGACGUCACCGGAGUUGCAACUCUACCCCUGCUGAGACGUGUGGCCAAAACAAGAUCUACAAGACGCUCCAAAGAUUUCUCUGUAUAGAUUUCUUUCGACGGAGAUGUAUUAGGUAACAAUGCCGUGAGAAUUCCGCAGCCAUUGGAAGUGAAACAACCCGGCAACCAACCAUUUCAACAUAGUGAGUUGCUGUAACGGUUUGGUUUGCAUUAGCAUCACCAGUAUCUACAAUGGAGAAUCCAAACAUCCCUAUUUUGCAGUAUGGAAUCCAUCGAUACAAAGGUUAAAGAGAAUUCCUUCCACACCCUUCAACCCUCCAAAAAACGUUGUCUUCCGAUUACCCACGUAGGGGUUUGGGUACGAUUCCACCAACGAUGACUAUAAAUUUGUGAGAGGCGAGAUAUUUACUAAUAAUUUGGGAAGUAAGGAUUCAUAAGUGAAAAUUUAUAGCUCAAAAUCCAACUCAUGGAAAUAGAUCCAACACUUCCCUUAUGAGCUCAAACCAUCAUGGUAUAUAAACCAUCCAUCCUAUGUGAAUGGUUCUGUACAUUGGCUGGCCAAUCCUAACAAUAUCAUAGCUCUUGAUCUUGCAACUGAGAAGUACAACGUUUUUCCAGCCCCGAUUGUUGUCAAUGCCUAUCCUGCGAACGUUUUUCUAGCCCCGAUUGAUGUCUAAAGGUCCUAGAGGGAGGGUGAAUAGGCCUUUAACAACUUUUUUUGUAUAAAUUCGUUAUCAGGGAUAGCAAGGGUUAUAGCUAUCCUGAAUAACAAAUAUACAAUGACAAUAAAUAAAAGUUGCAGUAAGAUAACAAUAAACACCAAGAUGUUUUUUACUUGCAGAAACCCUGCAACCAAGGAGAAAAACUGCGUGCCCCUAACUCUUGAGGGACAAACUUUUCCACUAUGUAAAACUCACUUCUUACAAGAUUAUAAUCUAGGGAUACAUGAACCAUUUGCUAUCCUGCCUAAACUACCCACUAGUCUAGAUCUAUACUUUCUCUCUUGUUUCUGAGUACCUCACUCCUUACAAGAUUACAGUAUAGGAUACAGCAACGACUUGCUAUCCUACCUAGUCCCAAACUAGUCUAGAUCUACAUCUCUUGUCUCUAAGUGGCUACACAUGAAGGUAUAAGAAGUUUCAACUAAGAACUCAGCUAUCACUUAACUAAUUCUUCUUGAAGACUUCUAAGAAGUUUCACUCUUAGAAACUCAGCUACCUCAGCAGGAUACAUCAGAACUCAGCUAUCCUUAGCUGCUUCUUUCAUGAACACUUCCGGGGUUGCUGCACUACCAACUGAUCUCAUGGUAUGCAGAAUGCAAUGAGUUUAUGAGGAAAGGUUUUGUUCAGCUCUAAGGUUUAUAAUCACAAAAGGAAGACUUAGAGACUAAUGAACAAUGCAAAAGAAAACCAAAACCCAACAAUGCAAAUGUAAAAACUACAUUAUGACAACCAUUGAGCAAAGGCAGCCUUACUCAAUAUAUAUAGGCUGAUGGAGUGCUCUAACAAGAGAGAGACACAAGCCAAAGAGGUGCCACAAGAGGGCAGUCACGAGGGCCAAAGCAAGAAAAGGGUUUUGGACUUUUGUCCUUGGCCAAACUCAGAAAGUGAGAGGACAUAUGCAGUUAUCCAUGACCAAGCAAAAAGACAAACAAAACUAUCCUAAACAAUAUUUGAUUUAAAGGCAAAAGACAAAGGUUUUGCAAACUUUUUCCCAAAAGCAUAAUACCACAAUGGUUUAGCAAAUCACUUUUUCUCUGAUAUCAAACAAAGACAGCUGCAGAUCCAACAGGCCGGUUGUCACGAGCCAACUCAAGGACACAAUGAUACCUUUCCUAAAACAGGUUUGAUUUAAACAUGGAGCAAUAAGGUUGUAUAACCUCUUACUCAGUCCAUCAGUGGACCAUGACUUAGCCAACAAGAACUGGUCUAGACUCAGACAAAUACAUCUGAUCUGGGCAUCAUUACAGCAAACCAUUUGGUCACGGGUUGGCACAACAAAAGAUCUAAACCCUAGACUAAAUUGAGCACAAAGGCAAGACCUUUAAAUAUUCUAGUUGUCAAUUUGAAAUUCAAUUUAGGAUCUUUCCCAGACAUAAAAUUAAUACCACAAGGGUAAAGAAACUUAAACAUAAGACAAUAGAACAAAAGAUUAAAAAGCUGGAAACCCAGAUUUUUAGGAUGGCAGACAAUACUGUUAUCCUCAGUGAAAAACCAUGAAAUGCAUAUGCAUGAUUUUACCUGAGUUCCAUGAGUUCAUGUUGGUUCUUCUACUUCUUCAAACUUGUUCUUCAAAUGUGCAAGACCAAUCUCUCAAUUGUUUUAGGCUUCAUAGGUUGUGUUUUGUUCUAUAUAAGGAUUGCCAACAAUCUUAUACCUUCAAUGUCAAUGCCUAUCCCGCGAGUCUAGGGCCCUUGGGAGGAUUACUGUAUGUGUAUUUUAUACAUCUCACGGCUGGUUUGCAUGAUAUUUGGAUUAUGAAGGAGUAUGGGGUGGCAGAGUCUUGGACACAGUUAUGUACUAUAGAUACAAGUGAAUUGCCUUGGAGGAGGCCCGUGCCUCAGCAGUAUGCUUUUCAAUUUUGGGAACCCUUUGUGCUCUCAAAGACCGGCAAGCAGGUUCUAUUAGGGUCUCAUUUUUUUUCAUUUGUAAAAAGCUAUGUCUUAGGCUUUAGACAAACUGCACAAACAAUACAAACACCACCACAAUAAAAUUCAAUUAUAUUGAACAACAUAAGAUGACAAUGAUCAAAACUUGAGCAAUUCAUCAAACUGGAGCUCUUUGGCAUUAGCAAAAUGCAAAACGUAGUCAUGCCAUUCUUCCAGUCCCAUCUAGUUUAGAAUCAAGAAAACCGCAUUUCCAUAUAAUGUAUGCCUCAUGGCCAGUCCCAAAUAGUAAAAGCAGCAACGCCGCUCUACAAGGCAAUGGAAUAUGACGUCGCCCUUCUCGGAGAUGCUAGUAAACUCUCCGUCAACGAAAUCGGGUUUUAUUUGUGACGCUUACUUGGGCUUACAAACACACAAACUGUUUGCUCCCACAGAAAAGCUUGAGAAUUCCGAAGAGAAAUCUCACGUCACAUUGUACAAAACAAUUUAUCAUAGAUAAAACACAGAAAACAAGCAAACUCAAUCUGCUCAGACGCUAGGAAGUUUCAUUCUCAUUGAUCUUUUACAAUCUCUGAAGUCUGACAUGUGAAUUUAUCCAUAAUUCAUCACCGCAGAACAAUUACACAAACAAAAUUAGCAUCAGCCGCGCCUUUGCCGCUCCUCCUCACUUUCCGGACGACCACGACGUUACCGCCCUCCUUCUCCGCUUCCAAAGUUUCAAUAGUAAGUUGGACUAGCCUUUGCUAGUUUGCUAGUUUCAUUGUUUUCAAAUCCACGAUCGCAAGUACAUGCAAUCCACAGUCCUAAGUAUUAGAAUGGAGAGCAAGUAUAAUUAUGCACUCAUGCGUGACAUACCUUGAUUGUGUGUGUAUAUAUACAGUUCCUAUCAGAGCAAAGCUGAAAUUAAAAUGUGAAGUUCUUUAUUUAACUCAUUUUUUCGUCAUAUUUCCACAACUACACCGUUCAGUUUGUAAAACCUAAUGCAUAGAUCAUUUAUGCAAAGUUUCAUCUAAUUUUAUAAUCAUUUGGGUUUUCGUAAUCGUUAUUUACACAAACAGUUGUGGUUAGACAAAUUUAUGGUCCGUUCAUUGAUUUGAUCUAAUUCAAAUAUAUAUUGCUGGGUCAAAAAUUUUGCUUUUGUCAGUUCGAUCUAUUCCUACUUUGAUUUUCUUUUCUUCUGCUUCUUUCACUGCGCUUGUGCAACUCGCCGGCAUAUUCAUCAAAGGAAAUCUGGAUGUAAGGGUACACACACCCGAACCAUUUCUGUGUAUAUCUUUGAAUGUGGCUCCGGAGUUGAUGGGGAAAGUAUCGUUGAAACAUGGCAUAAGCAAACAUCUACUUGCCAGUACUGAACCCAGUGAGCCCAGUCGAGGCCACAACCACAUUUCUCUCAUCAUCAUCCUCUUGAGCAUGGUUGGUUGGUUUUACAAGAUUUAACACUUGUAUAUAUAUGGAAUUUGGGCUCUUCAACACAGACUCAAUAAGGACUUUCACUUGUCUGGUGGAGGGCUCAAGCAUACAUUAUUGAGCUUUGCCUCUGUGUUUUGUUCCCAAUGGGAUACGUUACAUUUUGUUUAUGUUUAGGUGAAGGUUAAAAUAGUAUAAAUGAUGGGAAAGAAAUGAGGGUGAGUCGCUGUAUGAUGUGUCUAUGUGAAUACAUUAUGCAUUCUGGUCUAGAAUGGACUGGUGGAUGAGUCUCUUUGCUGAUUGUCUCCUUGCUCAAGGCCGGCGAAGAGUUUGCUUGCGAAAUGGGUUAGUAUACCCACUGCAAAGCACUCACAGAUUCUCGACACUCUACAGUAAAGCCAAAAUACCCUGACAUCAUAUACCAAUGAUGUCAUAAUCUUUCCUUCAACAUUCAUCAUGCACAAGACCUCAUCUUCUCCUUGGUUAAAAGAUAUCUAUUCCCACCCUUAUCAAAUGAAUGUAUAUGGUUAGCAAUAUUGCAUAUGGGAUGAUCAUGAUGUUGCUGCAAGAUAAACACAAUAUAAUUAUGGCCCUGCCUGCACCUCAUAACUUGCUUACUUGUUCAGAUUCCCCCUUAGUCAUUCCAUAUAUCUGGUCAAAAUUUGUUGAAAUAUAGAGGUUUUCCACUGUUACUUCAGCUUUGCAUAGUAAGAUUAUGAAGAGAUUUUUCUGUUUCAAUUGGCAUUACAGUAGCUCCAUGAAACAUGAACUGUAGUAUUUAUUUCAUCAAAACUCAGAAAAUUGGUCAUUAAUUGCUUGAAAAAAGUGCAGAUUGUAAAACAACUCUUAAUGAUUCUUAUUUCACACUACUGUAACUACAGGUUCAAGUUAUGCAUAUAUGAUUCUUCACACACUACUGUAACUACAAGUUCCAGUUGUGCAGAUUAUUUGACUCUCUUGCCACAUAUUCAAUGAACGACCCCAUUUUCUUUCCCAUCUUGUUUGGCUGAUGUUCCAUUACAUAAUUUACAUUUAACUUCAUCUUUAGCAGACUCAACCUUUUCCUUCUCUUCUUUCUCUGGCUUCAAUUUUGCUUCUUCCUCUUCCUUCAAUUUUGCUUCUUUCUCUGCCUUCUCUUUGGCUUCUUCCUCUGCCUUCAGUUUCACUUCUUCCUCGGCCUUUACUCUUGCCUCCUCCUUUGCAGUCUCGAGAGCUUCAAUCAAGUUCUUCGAACAAGAAUCAGCAUUCUCUAUAUCAGAUUUAGGCAUCAAAUUCUCUGCCACAUCAGCUGGAGUCAUGUUGGUCUCCCCCAACAACCUUUCAAUGGUACCAAACAGUUCAUGUGACUCCAAAUCCAAAUAGUUCCUUGCAAGCAAUUUGAAUGCUUCAUAGCAACAGUAGGACAAUUCAAUAUGCUUGUCCAUCCUUCCUCUUCUAAUCAGAGCGGGAUCAAGUUUUUCCACAUAAUUUGUUGUGAACACAAUGAUUCUUUCACCUCCACAAGCUGACCAAAUACCAUCAAUGAAGUUCAAUAGCCCAGAUAAAGUAACCUCACUUGGUUUGCUUUCUUCUCCUCCCCUCAUUUUCUUGAUCGGAUCAUUUUCUUUAUCUUCAUCAUCAUCCUUCUCCUUCUUCUUCUUCCGCUGCCCCGUGAGAUCAAGCGAGCAAUCAAUGUCCUCAAUCACAAUAAUAGUCUUGUUAGGAGUGUCAAUCAGCAACUUCCUCAGCUCAGUGUUGUUCUUCACCGUGGUCAGCUCAAGAUCAUAAACAUCAUAGUUCAUGAGGUUAGACAUGGCAGCAAUCAUGGUGGACUUACCAGUGCCUGGUGGCCCAUACAGAAGAUAACCCCUCUUCCAAGCCUUCCCUAUUUUCGCAUAGUAGUCUUUCCCCUUGCUGAACUUGAUGAGGUCAUCUACGAUUUCCUUUUUCUUUUUUGGCUCCAUUGCUAUGGUCUCAAAUGUUGCAGGGUGCUCAAACACCACAGAGCUCCAUUUAGUUGGUUUCCAUUCGUACCAAUCUGAAGCAGGAUUGUUAAUGUAAAGCUUUCGUUGCCUGUUGCUAACUGCUAUUGCCUUGCCUUGUUUCCUCAC